UGUGUGGCUAACGUUUUGGGCAAUUGAGAACAGAGCAAAUCUCAGACAUUAGCUUCCCAAAGCCUGGCUGACCUUCAGGUUCUCCUGUUUUUACAGCCACCGCAGUGAUCUGCGGGGAACAUGGAGGGCUGGGGAGCCAGCGUGGUCUCGGCCCUGUUGGGGAGCAGAUAAGCAGGCAGCAGGCAGUGUAGUUAGCAGGUCAUCACUUUGAUUUGUGUGUCCUCUAGUUUAUCUGCUCAUUUUCAUUUCUGAAGUUGUUUCAGGGCACAUAUUUUGUGCCUGCAGCAAUAAUAAAAUGUAGACUUAAGUGGCUCAAACAUCAGAAACUUAUUUUCUUCUAGUUAUGGAGGCUAGAAGCCCAAGGUCAAGGUUCAAGCCAAUUCAUUUUUCUGGUAAGUGCUCUUUCCUUCUGCUGUGGCCUUUUCUUUAGGGCAGGCACAGAGAGAGAAAGAACUAACUCUUUGGUGUCUUUUCUUAGAAGGGCACUAAUCUUAUCAGAUUAGGGCCCCACCCUUACAAUGUCAUUAAACCUUAAUUACUUCCUUAGAGCUCCCAUCUCCACAGAGGCACACUGUGAGAUAAGAGCUUCAACAUAUGAAAUUUGGAGGUAUACAAACAUUCAGUCUAUAACAGGGCAAACACAGUCUAAAAGGGCAAUUUUCGGCAGAAAAUUCACCCAAAUUGGAGCUAAAGGAGCAGACUUAGUAAAAUCUAAUAACUUAGCAUUAUUCCCUCUAAUAUGCUUCCUUGUCAAUCAAGUUGGGCUGAUUAGAGACUUCAGCUUUCUGAAAAACCAGAGAAAACUCUAAAAUUCUGUCAUCCUAACCAAGUACUCUACCCUCCCCUUCAUUAGCAGUAACAGAGUUACAUCCAAUUACUGUCUUUAGAGAUUUUGAAACCCUUUAUCUAAAAGGUUUUACAAAAAAUAUAUAUAGAGAAGACUAACCUGAGGAUAUUUUCUUUUUAAACUAAGGAAAUAUUUUGAUUUCAUUGUAAAACUGACCCAUAGCCCCAAAAGAAAGUUGGGAAAACGUAAAAACAGUACCGAGAGAAAAAUGGAAAGGUGCUCACUGAAAAACAUCUGUCCUCAAUAAAAUCGAAGAGGAGAAUUAAGAAGUGCUAAAGAAUUUCUUCUCACUGAAAAUGUGGAAUAGUUGUUUUGAAACAUUUUGGUCUCCAAACUUGAGGAAAUAAUGUUUUUUUAUAAUGAGUCAACACUGAUGUAAUAUAAUUCUGUCCUAAAGUAAUUUGUUGGUCUGCUGAAUUGUAUGGUUCAUCUUUUGAGUUAAAAUAUUCCUCACACCUCUGUCCAAUAACAACUCUCAUUUUCUGAGCACUUGUUUUAUACAUCUCAUUUUAUUCCCCUAACCUCCCUUCGAGUUAAAUACCAUUAUUUCCCCAACUUUGCAAAUGAGGAGACUGAUCAUUUAAAAGACAGAGUAACUCUUUGAAUGUGGCAGAACUGGUAUUGGAACCACUGAUUCUAAUGGUAAAGCUCUCCCCCAGCUCUUCAUUGCUCAGUGCUUCCAGAGACUCAAAGGCUCUGGAGAGAGUGGUGUGUGUGUGUGUGUGCGUGUGUGUGUGUGUGUGUGUGUGUACCUGCAGCUGUGUGUCUUAACUUUCCCUAAUCUGGUUCUAGCUUCUAUGAUACAAAGAAAAUUACAAUAAAAUGAUGAUCACUACCAAGAGGCUGAACUGAACAGGUGGCCACUCCAAACUCUACGUUAUUACCCAUCCCAACAGCUGCACAGCACAAUGGGAGCUUUUCUCGGAGGAUUCCAUGGAGAGAGAGAGAGAGAGAGAGAGAGAGAGAAAGAGAAAUUAAGGGUGUUGUCCACAAGAUGAACUAUCAACUAAAGAGCAAUUUUAGCUCACUUUGCCUUUUAGGUCUGAAAACAUAACUCCAAGUAUUAGCACUAAUAUAUCGUAUUUUAAUCUCA